rnacentral:lncRNA from 1 species
UUUUUUUUUUUUUUUUUUUUCUUUUUUCUCUUUGGAGGUAGUUGUGGUUGGAGGUGGAGGCUUGUUUUGUUUUUUUUAGAAUUACAUUUUAAUUUAUCUACUGACUUUUUAGCUAUCCCUAUUUGCAUUAGGUUUAGUUUUUGUUUUUUGUUUUUUGUUUUUUUAGUAAGUGCUCUACAGAUAAUAAUAAAUAUCCUCAACUUACUACAAUUUACUUAGAGUCAAUAUUGUACCACUUCACAAAAAUGUAAGAAUUUUGCAACCAUAUAGUUUUAUUCACUGCCUUCAUCUGUAUGCUCCAGGUGUCAUACGUAUUACAUUUUCAUAUGUUAUGUACUUUACAAGAUAUAUAAUGUUACAGAUUUUGCUCUAAAUACUUGUAUGUAUUUUAAAGAUAUUAAGAGAAAAACAUAUUCUUACAUGUAUCCACAUAUUUAGCAUUUAUAGCAUUCCUUACUGAUGAUUUGAGUUUCUAUCUGGUAUCAUUUCCCUUCAGCAUGAAAGAACUUUAUCAUUUCUUGUAGUUUGGGUCUGCUGAUGACUAAUUCUCUUAGUUCUCAUUUAUAUGGAAAUGCCUUUAUUUCACCUUCAUUUCUUCAAGUGUAUUUUUCUGAAUAUGGAAUUCUGGGUUGACAGGGUUUUUUUCUUCCAGCCCUAUAGAGAGGACCUACUGACUUCUGAUCUCCACUGUUUCUGUCCUUCAUGAAUGAAUCAGCUAUCAUUUAUAUUGUUAGUCCCUACCUGUACCGUGACAUUUUUCUCUAGCUGAUUUUCUCUUUAUGUUUGGUUUUUAGCUAAGAUAGAGGACAUACCUACAUGUGGUUUUCCUUUUAUUUAACCCCAUCACUUGGGGUUUGCUUAUAUUUUUGCAUCUAUAAUAUUAUGUCUUUCAUCAAAUUUGAAUUAAUUUUGGAAAUUAUUUCUUCAAACAUUUUCUUCAUGUCUCAUUUUCUCCUCUCCUUCUAGAACUCCAGUAACAUAUAAUAGAUCUUUUGAUACUGUCCCACAGUUCUCUGAUCACCUGCUUAUUUUUUUAACCCCAGUUCACUCUGUUCUUCAGAUUGCUUAAUUCCUGUUGGUAUAUCAUUUAAUUCACUGACACUUUCUUCUGUCAUCUCCAAUCUUCUCUUGAGCCUAUUCAGUGUAGUUUAAAUUUGUGUUUUUUUGGGACGCGUAGGUGGCUCAGCGAUUGAACAUCUGCAUUUGGCUCAGGGCAUGAUCCCAGGGUCCUGGGAUCCAGUCCCACAUCGGGCUCCCUGCGAGGAGCCUGCUUCUCCCUCUGCUUGUGUCUCUACCUCUCUCUCUCUCUGUGUCUCAUAAAUAAAUAAAUUAAAAAUCUAAAAAAAAAAAUUGUAUUUUUUCAGUUCCAGAAUUUCAAGUUAUUUUUUAAUACUUUUUAUUUAUUUGCUAGAAUUUCAAAUAUUUUCACUGAUUGUGAACUUAUUUUCUUUACAUUCUUUUAUUGUCAUUGUUGUUUUAAUAGGUUCCUAACUUGUUUGAACUCAAACUUCAAACUCUAUCUCCCCUCCAUUGGACAGCAGCUGCAUUCUUUGUUUGGAUCUUUUAGCCUUACCUUAACUGCUUGGAGUUUGCCCUAUAUAUGUGUGUAGUUAAGAGGUCAGCCAGAUUUGAGCAGAGUUUAUAUACAGAAUUUGGGGUUCCCUCUCUUUGGCUCUUUCCUUUCCAGGGUUUCCCCCUUACUUUAUAGAUGCUUUGGCAGCCCCAAAUUCAGUUAUCUGAUUCUUCAAGCCAGUAUGGUUUCCAGUUAAUUUCCAAAUUAUAGUUACCUUGCACACCUGACUUAUCAGGGUUACCGCUAGCUAAAAAUCCAUUUUAAAAAAUGUUAAAAAGGAAGCUCACCUAUACUCAUUUUUUUCUUGCAUGUGUCAACUCCCCUCUGGUUUCUGCUUAAUUAUGGUCAUUCUCUAGUGGCUUCACACAUGCUCUAGUGGCUCCUUGUUUUUUAUGCUUUGUCCAGAGUUUGUCACUGUCAUCAGAGAGACAUCUGUUUAGGCUUGGUCUAAUAUAAACUGUUACACCUUUUUUGGAAUACAGAACUCUAUCUCGAUUACUUUUACUACUUUUUGGAGGCAGUUACUGGGCAGUCAUUUGGAUUUUCUUUUCUAGCAAGGUUGUAAAACACAAUAGUAGUUAAGAUCCCGGACUAUGUAGCUCAACUUCUUGGGUUUGAAUCCCUGCUCUGGCUACUGUGACUUUGUGCAAAGUACUUGUCUUCGCUAUCCCUCAGCUUACUCACCUUUAAAAUUGGUAUCAUCCCAAAGUAUCUCCUAGAUUUGGUGUGAGUUUUAAAUAAAUUCAUAUGUGAAGAUCUUGGAGGAAUGCCUCUUUCAUGGCAAAUAAUAAAUAAGCCAACCCUGCCAGGUUUUACUGAUAUUAUUUCACUUCUCAUUUCAGUAAACUUUUUGGUGCACCGAGUUUGGGGCAAAGUUAAUGAGUACCAUUUUAUAGUUAUGCAGACUGAAGAUCUCAAAACUAUAAACAAAGUCAGAAAAUUACAGCUCUAGGCCUCUUGUUCUUUGCUAAUUUACUCAGUUGUCCAUUUCCCUCAUUCACUACCCUGAAUCCUUCAAUGAAAUGAGAGCUUGCCUUGCCCGUUACCCAGGAAGAAGAGCCGGUUCUCUCAAAUGCUCUUCUCCUUGGUCAUACACCCCAGUCUUGAGUUCAUAUUCUGAACUAAUGACUUCUCCUAAGUGAUUGGAUUUAUUAUUAACAAUGUCCUUUAAACUUUAUCUUAACCUUGGCUGCUGCAGCUGGGGUGGCCAGGAGGAGGUGGGCUGGUAUUCUCAAUUGCUCAAGCCUAUACAUCAAGAAGAUUCUGGCACCUGCUUCACUCAGAUUGUCUCUCUCUAGCUCCUCCCAUACUAAAAAUCAAAUUUUUGAAAAGCCACAGCAGUGGGUUUCCCUUUAUUAAAGGGACCCUGAGGGCAGCCCAGGUGGCUCAGCGGUUUAGUGCCGUCUUGGGCCCAGGGCGUGAUCCUGGGGUCCCGGGAUCGAGUCCCACAUCGGGCUCCCUGCAUGGAACCUGCUUCUCCCUCUGCCUGUGUCUCUGCCUCUCUGUGUGUGUGUCUCUCAUGAAUAAAUAAAUAAAA